rnacentral:misc_RNA from 1 species
GAUGAAGAACGUAGCGAAAUGCGAUACGUAAUGUGAAUUGCAGAAUUCAGUGAAUCAUCGAGUCUUUGAACGCACAUUGCGCCCCCUGGUUUUCCGGGGGGCAUGCCUGUCCGAGCGUCAUUGCUGCCCUCAAGCACGGCUUGUGUGUUGGGCCUCCGUCCUCCUCCCGGGGGACGGGCCCGAAAGGCAGCGGCGGCACCGCGUCCGGUCCUCGAGCGUAUGGGGCUUCGUCACCCGCUCUUGUAGGCCCGGCCGGCGCUUGCCGACACAUCAAUCUUUUUUCCAGGUUGACCUCGGAUCAGGUAGGGAUACCCGCUGAACUUAAGCAUAUCAAUAAGCGGAGGA